rnacentral:lncRNA from 1 species
CUUCUUCCUGGUUGCGUCUCCAGGCCCGAUUCCUGCUUCUCAACAACCUCUUUGGACUCAGUGCCUACCCAUCUCCUGGCGGCCUUGGUCGGCCCACAGCUUCCUCAAGCCAAGCUCCCCAGGCCCAGGUCAGGCCUCACGGUGGCCUCUCCAGGAUGAGCUCCUGCCCUCCGAUGGCAUCUCCAGGCCCCAAAUGGUCUCCGGUCGGUGGGCUCCUCCACGCCAAGGUUGGGCCUCCCGGCGACCGCCGCAGGCCCAAGUUGUCCUGAAGUCGGGCUCUCCCGGCCCUGCCUCCCAGCAAGUAAGCAAGCUCUUUUGGCUCAACUCCUGCCCAGCUCCCAACCGCCUUUGUAGGCCCCGAACUUUCUCCAGCCAAGCUCUGAGGGCCCACCUCCUGCCUCCUGGUGGCCUGUACAGUUCUAGCACUGGUUAGAGAACAGCCUCUGCAGGCCCCGCCCUUGCCUCCCAGGGGCCUCUCCAGGCCCAGCUCUUGCCCCCACGGCGGCCUCCCGGGGCCAAGUCCCUGCCUGCCUCCCAGCAGCCCGCGUACGGCCCAGCUCCUCCCUCACGAUGGCCUGUUGAUGCCCAACUCAUGCCUCUGGCACCCUGCCCAGAGGCGUGAGCCCCUGUCUCACACUGGCUCCUCCCACGCUGAGAGAGGUCAGUGUGAGCCCUUGCCUCACACCGGCCCCUCCCACGCGGACAGAGGUCAGCGUGAGCCCCUUGCCUCACACCGGCCCCUCCCACGCUGAGAGAGGUCAGUGUGAGCCCUUGCCUCACCCCGGCCCCUCCCACGUGGACAGAGGUCAGCGUGAGCCCCUUGCCUCACACCGGCCCCUCCCACGCUGAGAGAGGUCAGUGUGAGCCCUUGCCUCACCCCAGCCCCUCCCACGUGGACAGAGGUCAGCGUGAGCCCCUUGCCUCACACCGGCCCCUCCCACGCUGCGAGAGGUCAGCCUGAGCCCUUGCCUCACACCGGCCCCUCCCACGCUGAGAGAGGUCAGCCUGAGCCCUUGCCUCACACCGGCCCCUCCCACGCUGAGAGAGGUCAGCCUGAGCCCUUGUCUCACACCGGCCCCUCCCACGCUGAGAGAGGUCAGCCCGAGCCCCUCGCCUCACACCGGCCCCUCCCACGCUGAGAGAGGUCAGCCUGAGCCCUUGCCUCACACCG